GUAGCGGUAUUGUAAGUCCCGGAUCGGCUGGGUGUUCGUAGAACACCCCACUCCGCCCCGCAGUGGGCGGUGGUCAUCGGCCCCCAGGCAGAGCCGCUAU
rnacentral:ncRNA from 1 species